AUAUACUCCCCUUCAAAAACCGGUAAGAAUAAUGAAAUGCCUCUGGCAGCUAUAAUAUGAGGCUCUGAUGAAAAAUUUACGACAGUCAGUCCAUCUCAUAUAAGCUCUUAUUGUUGUUCUAAAAUACAUUGUUAAUGCCUGGGACGAUCACUUGAGCCCAGGAGUUCGAGUCCAGCCUAGGCAACAUAGCAAGAUCUCAUCUCUGAAAAUAAAAUACCCCGUUAAAAUUCUGG
rnacentral:lncRNA from 10 species